rnacentral:hammerhead_ribozyme from 1 species
GCACUGCUGACGAGUUUCAAACAGGACGUAACGACUGUCCAGUGC